AAUUUUGGACAAUGGGGGGAAGCCUGAUCCAGCCAUUCCGCGUGAGUGAAGAAGGCCUUCGGGUUGUAAAGAUCUUUUAUCAGGAAAGAAAAGGUGUGCGUUAAUACGCUGUGGUAAUGACGGUACCCGAAGAAAAAGCACCGGCUAAAUACGUGCCAGCACCCGCGGUAAUAUGUAGGGGGCGAGCGUUAUUCUGAAUUACUGGGGGUAAAGCGUGCGCAGGGGGGGUCAUAAGACAGAUGUGAAAUACCCCGGGUCAACCCGGGAAAUGCGUUUGUGACUGUGUGGCUAGAGUGUGGCAGAGGGGGGUGGAAUUCCCCGUGUAGCAGUGAAAAGUGUAGAGAUAUGGAGGAACACCCAUGGGGAAGGCGGCCCCCCGGGUUAACACUGACGCUCUGGCACGAAAAAGUGGGGAGCAAACACGAUUAGAUACCCCGGUAGUGCACGCCCUAAAAGAUGCGAAAUAGGUGUUGGGGGAGGAGACUUCCUCAGUACCGUAGCUAACGCGUGAAGUGCCGC
rnacentral:rRNA from 1 species